CUGUGCCUUCGGGGGCAAGCUUUCCCUCUGGACAGCUGGAACGGCGCCUUGGCGGCCCGUUCGGGCUGGCGGCGGCGGGUUGGGGAGCCCAGUGGGCUUCCGAGCCGGCACGUCGAUCGAGCUUGCCCUGUCUGAACACCCCCUUGCUUUUUGCGUACCCCCGUUUCCUCGGCAGGCUUGCCUGUCCGCAGGACCUUUUUAAACCCGUUGCACUGUCGUCUGCGUCGGAUUUGUAUCAAUGGUUA
rnacentral:misc_RNA from 1 species